AGAGUCCUGAAGUGUACGUUGUAAACCCUAAUAUUUUGACCGAACAUUAUUCCUUCGGGAGUUCGGAGUUUUCCAGAAGCGUAAAUGCCUCUAAACAGUGGACUUACAAAACUGGAAAUAGAACACCCACCUGCUGUGUGCGGGAUCAAAAUGAAGGAUCAAAAGCAACGGCACAAUUGGGACUCUU
rnacentral:other from 1 species